GACGGAGGGUGCAAGCGUUGUUCGGAAUUACUGGGCGUAAAGCGUACGUAGGCGGUUGAUUAAGUCAAAUGUUAAAGCUCGGAGCUCAACUCCGUAGAUGCAUUUGAUACUGGUCAACUAGAGGGCGAUAGAGGAAAGCGGAAUUCCAAGUGUAGCGGUGAAAUGCGUAGAUAUUUGGAGGAACAUCAGUUGCGUAGGCGGCUUUCUGGGUCGCUCCUGACGCUGAGGUACGAAAGCGUGGGUAGCAAACAGG
rnacentral:rRNA from 1 species